rnacentral:rRNA from 1 species
UGGGGGAUAUUGCACAAUGGGCGAAAGCCUGAUGCAGCGACGCCGCGUGGGGGAUGAAGGCUUUCGGGUUGUAAACCUCUUUCGCUAUCGAACAAGGCCCGCUUAGGGUGGGUUGAGGGUAGGUGGAGAAGAAGCGCCGGCUAACUACGUGCCAGCAGCCGCGGUAAUACGUAGGGCGCGAGCGUUGUCCGGAAUUAUUGGGCGUAAAGGGCUUGUAGGCGGCUUGUUGCGCCUGCUGUGAAAACGCGGGGCUUAACUUCGCGCGUGCAUUUGGUACGGGCAGGCUUGGGUGUGGUAGGGGUGACUGGAAUUCCAGGUGUAGCGGUGGAAUGCGGAGAUAUCUGGAGGAACACCGAUGGCGAAGGCAGGUCACUGGGCCAUUACUGACGCUGAGGAGCGAAAGCAUGGGUAGCGAACAGG